ACCAGUGUGGUAUAGUGGUUUGUGUGUUGGACUACAGCUCGGAGUCCAGGGUUCGAAUCCUUGCUCAGCCA